AGUGAGCGCUGGCGGUAGGCCUAACACAUGCAAGUCGAACGGCAGCACAGUAAGAGCUUGCUCUUACGGGUGGCGAGUGGCGGACGGGUGAGGAAUACAUCGGAAUCUACUUUUUCGUGGGGGAUAACGUAGGGAAACUUACGCUCAUACCGCAUACGACCUACGGGUGAAAGCAGGGGAUCUUCGGACCUUGCGCGAUUGAAUGAGCCGAUGUCGGAUUAGCUAGUUGGCGGGGUAAAGGCCCACCAAGGCGACGAUCCGUAGCUGGUCUGAGAGGAUGAUCAGCCACACUGGAACUGAGACACGGUCCAGACUCCUACGGGAGGCAGCAGUGGGGAAUAUUGGACAAUGGGCGCAAGCCUGAUCCAGCCAUACCGCGUGGGUGAAGAAGGCCUUCGGGUUGUAAAGCCCUUUUGUUGGGAAAGAAAAGCAGCAGGUUAAUACCCCGCUGUUCUGACGGUACCCAAAGAAUAAGCACCGGCUAACUUCGUG
rnacentral:rRNA from 1 species